UUUUGUUGCUACUGAAGAAAAUAUGGCUGAACAUUGAUGAAUGAGGAUAUUUGUUAUCAACUUUACCAGUAUAUAUGAAUAAAAACACUAACCGUAAGUAAAAUGCACUCAAUCCAAAUAAUUUUACAAAAUGAAAAAUUUGCAAAUUUCUGUAUCGUUAGGUCGAAGAAUUCAAUUCUGGCAUGAAAACUCGAUCGACUUUGUUGCAUAUUAGUUUAUUACCAUAUAAAAAAAAUCUUCGUCAAUGAAGAAACAUAAAAUAUGAUCUUCUCGUCUGUGAAGUUGAAAGAACACUUAACGCUAUAUAGCUUUUGAUAUUAAAUUGGACAUACUUUUAAUAAACUGGCACCCAAUCAUCAGCUAAUAAACUCGUUUGAAGAACAGAAUAAAAUGUUGGGAGAGUGGCUAAAUUUUACCCGAGAAGCUGCUCCAUGUGGAAUUAAAGAUAUUUUACAAAAGACAAAUUUGGACUCUAUAGGGAUAAAUUUUGGAUUUCCUGGGGAAGGCGUGCAAAUAAUGCCAAAUUGACAUAUGGCUUCAAAUACAUUAUUUAAACGAACUUCAGUAAGGGCUUUAUAUUAUAUUAUAUACUGCAGCUGUCCUAUUUGAGCAGUCAAAUUGCAUUGACUGUAUAUUCAUAUGUGAUAUACAGUCACUGACCGUAUAUCACCUUGUUUAUGACGUUGACAAUGCGUUUCCGUAGAGUUUUAUUUAUGACGUCAAUAAAACAUACAGGUUCGCGGAAAUUUUACGUCGUCCGCUUCAAAUUAAAAAAUGAUUGUUUUUACCCUAAAUAUUUCAUUUAGAACACUUAUAAGAGUUGCAGUAUAUAAAGAAUAACCAUACAUUGUCUCGAAAUAUCAAUCGGUUAUUUGUACUCAGCUCGAAACAGGUAGAAAUGCUCGGCACAGCCUCGCUUUCUACCUGUUUCUAAGCCUCGUACAAAUAACAUUGAUAUUUGAGACAAUGUAUGGUUAUUCUAUAUAUAUUAAGACUCUGUUUACUUACCAAUCUCUGAAUUUCUCAAAACUCAAUUCAGAUUUCAUGGAUAAAAAAAAUAAAACAAUCAUAAAUUAUUAUAAUUGAAAAAUAAUAUAGGGUAACACACACAUACUAAAUUUGUUGUGCAAUUUGCUUUUAUUAUAUAUGUCACCAUGGUCAUGUAUGUAUUAAUUUACAAUAUUCUGGAUGGGAGCAUUUCCAUUUCGGUAUUACUAUAUUUUAUUGAAUUAUUAUCCAGUCAAUUUAUAGUCUAUGCAAUUUAAUAAUUAGCUGCGGAACCGUAGCUCUUAGGUCCGCAAAUAGUCAAAAAAUAACAUAAGAACCUAAGAGCUACGGUUCCGCCGCUAUGUAAUCCCCCCCCCGAAGUAAAAUCUUUAUAAUUUUGGUCCAAUUAUUCUGUAUUCUAUUUACCCUUUAAGAACCACAUUUAGGCCAAAUAAAUAAAUAUGUGUGUUUCCUAUUUCCCUCUUUAUUAAACCCUAUAUGUUUUAAGCUUGGAAAUAGCUGCCUACCUUAAAGUUUUUUUUGUAAUUUUUCAAUAAGCACUGUUUAAGUCAGAAUAUCUCUCCCUUAGACUCAAUGUAAAAAAAAAAUGUUGAAAUAAAUUCCCUACCUACCUACCAUUUAUUUUCAAAGAUGUAAUAGGAAACACACACAGUAUUUUAUUUGGCCUUAGCCCUUAUAUAUACAAUGUACAUGUACUCUUAAUAAACCUUUUAUUCCUGCAAUAAAAAACACUUUUGACUAUAAUUCUAAGACGCCAGUAAUCAAUUCUAAUGUUUUUAUUUUUAUCUUACAGAUGGUGACAAAAAGAUAACAGCACAGUGUUAAGAUUGAAUCAGAAUGAAUAAAACAACAAGAUUAUAAUAGGUACAUGUAUUGGUUUAUUUUUUAAAUAUUUUUAUUUGCAUGGAUUAAUUACUUUAUCAAUUUAUAAAAUAAAUACUAUUUAAUUAUCCUGCCUUGCAUGGAAUAAAAUGACAACUUACAUUGUUCUAAAAAAAAAUGUUUGAAAAUAAUGAGUAAAAUUAAUGCUCAAAAACAAUGUUUAAAAUGUUAACAUGAAAACUGAUUUUGAUUUGAAGCCAUAUUUUAUGAAAUUGAUUAAUGUAGACAAAUCUUUUUUUAUAGUUACAAAUGUAGGUGACACUUAAACACUCAAUAUCUUUCUUUAAUUAGUAUAGUAGGAUGAUACAGAUUGAUGCCUGUGAAAGAAUUAUAAAAAAGGUUGCAUUCAGUUUUUUAUUGUCAAUAAUACUUCCCUCCCCCUAUUUUUUCAAACUUUUUAUAUGUUAAAUAAUGCAGGUCCUUGCAUUUCAACAAUUUAUUUUUAGUUAUACUCAUUUUAUUAUUUCAUUAUUACUUUCAGCUCCCUCAACCAGAAGAACUAUGAACACAGUUAUUGAUUUCUAUGUUUCCUUGGAGAUUUUAACAGUUAUUGUUAAAACUUGAAAUCUAACAGAAUGAAAAUUUGAGAAAAUUUACAUAUACAGUGUACAUGUACAUGUAGCUUCAAUAUAAAUCAACUGAUACACCGUAAGUAUGUCUUCUAUAUAUGAAAGUUAUAAAUUGGUUUGUUUACAAAAUUUAUUUUUUACUAGAUAUAUUUGAGUAAAUACCGGACCAAAUUAUAUAUUAAAGCAAAUACUCACAAACGUUUUUUUUUUUUAAAUUACUAAUAUUUCCUAUAUGGUGAUAUAAAUUAUAUGAUCAAAUUGUGGAUACAACUACAUGGUUUAUGCUAUAAACUGUGAAUAUAAAAAAAGAGUAUGUUGUAUGAUUGCCAAUGAGAAAACUCUUUCCAACAAGAGACCAAAUGACAGAAGUUAACAACUGUAGCCUAUAGUAGGUCAUAGUACAGUCUUAAACAAUGAGUAAAGCCCAUACCACUCAGAGAGCUAUAAAAUACACUGAAAUGACAAAUGUGAAACAAUUAAAACUAGAAAUUUGGCUUAAUUUAUCAUACAUGUAUGUACAAAAUAAUGAACGAAAAACAAAUAUGUGACACAUCAAACAACAACCACUGAAUUAAAGGCUCCUGAAUUGGGACAGACACAGACAUACAUAAUGUAUCGGGUUAAACAUGUUAGCUGGGGCCCAACCCUCCCCUUACCUGGGACAGUGGUGUAAGAGUACAAAAUAAAAACAAACUAUAAAAAUUCAGUUGAAAAAGUCUUAAAUCUUAACUCAUCAUGAGAUGGAUACAAGUAGAAAUAAAUAAAACCAAGAAAAAGGGGGCAUGGUCAGGUACUAUUACAUCCAAACAACUGAAAGAGACUUAAUACAGAUCUAGAUUAUUUACUCUAAGCAAACUCAAGCUUAAUAGGAGAUGUGAAAAACACCCUAAAUCUGAUAGGUCCUGCAACUUUUGAAAGAGACUCCAAAAAAUUAAAAGGGAACUCAAUCUAAAUUUUGUGUUAAAAUUUCAUGAGAAAUUGUUCAAAGCAAAGGAUAAGGGGCAUUAAAGGAUUAUUUUUUGUCCAAGAAUAUAAACUAUUCCAAAAAGCCCCAUUAUGUUUGGAAAUGCAUAAAUUUAAGAAACAUGAAUUAAAAACAUAAUAUUUUUUGUCUGAUAAUGUCACAAUUACAUCAUGAAACGAGGACAAAUAUAGAAUUUAUGCAGUUUCCAAAACAAACAAAAUAAUUUAAGAAAACCUUUAUUAUAACUAUUGACAUAAUCUCACUAAAUAUAAAUUUUUUCUUGGAUGGGCACAUUACAGUCUAAAAUAUAAUUUUAUUUGACAAAAAACAAAGGAAAAUUAAGAAAUUUUACAAAUUUGGUCUAAGUUUAUUGCCAUGGUAACUCUUUAGUUGUAAAAAAAACCCAUUAUUUUCUGAAUAUGGUGUACCUUAGUCUAGUUUGGACAAAUUUUGAAAUAUUUAGGAUAACUGUUAAAUUAGCAGUAAUAUCUGGGCCAAAUAAAAACCUUUUUUAGUUAGCCCCUACUACUUGCCAUAAUGAUUUUAAAGGAUGGAUGGACAAACAAUGGCAUACCAUAUACAUCCCUUACCUACCAGAAGUUACAAAGUUAUAUAAAAAAUACGUUUAUAUAUUUUCAGAUCACAAUUAUGUCAACCUAAUCAUUGGAAGUUUAUCAAGUUACAUGAGAAGCAUUGAAAGCCUGCAGAGAUUCUACAUGUAUACAUAAAUGGAAUAGACUCACACUUAAAAAUAACUUUUAGACAAGACUAAUGCACUCUCAAACAUUAUUCAUGUUUCAAUGAGUGAAUUGAAGUGCAUACUAGCUGCGCAUGAAAAUUUGUGUGCAAUUUUUAAAUAUUUAUUUUCGUUUUAUUGAUUGUUGUUUUCAAAAAAU
rnacentral:lncRNA from 1 species